CUGUCAAUGAUGACAACCCAGUAUCAUGAAAAUGACUGGUGAAAUAAAAAUUAUGUACAGUAGGAUUUUGCUGAGGCCC